rnacentral:rRNA from 1 species
AACGGAGCAGACCAACAGGGAUUGCCCUUAGUAACGGCGAGUGAAGCGGCAACAGCUUCAAAUUUGAAAUCUGGCGUCUUUGGCGUCCGAGUUGUAAUUUGCAGAGGGCGCUUUGGCAUUGGCAGCGGUCCAAGUUCCUUGGAACAGGACGUCACAGAGGGUGAGAAUCCCGUACGUGGUCGCUAGCCUUUACCGUGUAAAGCCCCUUCGACGAGUCGAGUUGUUUGGGAAUGCAGCUCUAAAUGGGAGGUAAAUUUCUUCUAAAGCUAAAUACUGGCCAGAGACCGAUAGCGCACAAGUAGAGUGAUCGAAAGAUGAAAAGCACUUUGGAAAGAGAGUUAAAAAGCACGUGAAAUUGUUGAAAGGGAAGCGCUUGCAGCCAGACUUGCCUGUAGUUGCUCAUCCAGGUUUCUACCUGGUGCACUCUUCUAUAGGCAGGCCAGCAUCAGUUUGGGCGGUUGGAUAAAGGUCUCUGUCAUGUACCUCUCUUCGGGGAGAACUUAUAGGGGAGACGACAUGCAACCAGCCUGGACUGAGGUCCGCGCAUCUGCUAGGAUGCUGGCGUAAUGGCUGUAAGCGGCCCGUCUUGAAACACGGACCAAGGAGUCUAACAUCUAUGCGAGUGUUUGGGUGUCAAGCCCGAGCGCGUAAUGAAAGUGAACGGAGGUGGGAACCUUUCGGGGUGCACCAUCGACCGAUCCUGAUGUCUUCGGAUGGAUUUGAGUAAGAGCAUAGCUGUUGGGACCCGAAAGAUGGUGAACUAUGCUUGAAUAGGGUGAAGCCAGAGGAAACUCUGGUGGAGGCUCGCAGCGGUUCUGACGUGCAAAUCGAUCGUCAAAUUUGGGCAUAGGGGCGAAAGACUAAUCGAACUAUCUAGUAGCUGGUUCCUGCCGA